rnacentral:rRNA from 1 species
UACGAAGGGGGCUAGCGUUGUUCGGAUUUACUGGGCGUAAAGCGCACGUAGGCGGAUUGUUAAGUCAGGGGUGAAAUCCCGGAGCUCAACUCCGGAACUGCCUUUGAUACUGGCAAUCUUGAGGCUGGAAGAGGUUAGUGGAAUUCCCAGUGUAGAGGUGAAAUUCGUAGAUAUUGGGAAGAACACCAGUGGCGAAGGCGACUACCUGGCCUGUUCUUGACGCUGAGGCGCGAAAGCUGGGGGAGCAAACGGG